rnacentral:rRNA from 1 species
AUGCACGCUGGCGGCGUGCCUAAUACAUGCAAGUCGAGCGAACGGACGAGAAGCUUGCUUUUCUGAUGUUAGCGGCGGACGGGUGAGUAACACGUGGAUAACCUACCUAUAAGACUGGGAUAACUUCGGGAAACCGGAGCUAAUACCGGAUAAUAUUUUGAACCGCAUGGUUCAAAAGUGAAAGACGGUCUUGCUGUCACUUAUAGAUGGAUCCGCGCUGCAUUAGCUAGUUGGUAAGGUAACGGCUUACCAAGGCAACGAUGCAUAGCCGACCUGAGAGGGUGAUCGGCCACACUGGAACUGAGACACGGUCCAGACUCCUACGGGAGGCAGCAGUAGGGAAUCUUCCGCAAUGGGCGAAAGCCUGACGGAGCAACGCCGCGUGAGUGAUGAAGGUCUUCGGAUCGUAAAACUCUGUUAUUAGGGAAGAACAUAUGCGUAAGUAACUGUGCACAUCUUGACGGUACCUAAUCAGAAAGCCACGGCUAACUACGUG